GAGCGGCAGGCGCAGCAAUGCGCUGAGAGCGGCGGACUGGUGAGUAACGCGUGGGUAAUCUACCUUUGGCAUGGGGAUAGCCACUAGAAAUAGUGGGUAAUACCGAAUACGUUCCCUGGGGGGAGGUUUCAGGGAAGAAAGGGUGCUACGGCACCGGCCGGAGAUGAGCUCGCGUCCCAUUAGCUUGUUGGUGAGGUAACGGCCCACCAAGGCGAUGAUGGGUAGCCGGCCUGAGAGGGUGUACGGCCACACUGGGACUGAGAUACGGCCCAGACUCCUACGGGAGGCAGCAGCUAAGAAUAUUCCGCAAUGGACGAAAGUCUGACGGAGCGACGCCGCGUGGAUGAUGAAGGCCGAAAGGUUGUAAAGUCCUUUUGCUGGGGAAGAAUAAGUGUGGGAGGGAAUGCCCGCAUGAUGACAUGAACCGGCGAAUAAGCCCCGGCCAACUACGUGCCAGCAGCCGCGGUAACACGUAGGGGGCGAGCGUUGUUCGGAAUUACUGGGCGUAAAGGGCAUGUAGGCG
rnacentral:rRNA from 1 species